GAACGCGAAGAACCUUACCAGGUCUUGACAUCCCUCUGACCGCUCUAGAGAUAGAGCUUUCCUUCGGGACAGAGGUGACAGGUGGUGCAUGGUUGUCGUCAGCUCGUGUCGUGAGAUGUUGGGUUAAGUCCCGCAACGAGCGCAACCCCUAUUGUUAGUUGCCAUCAUUUAGUUGGGCACUCUAGCGAGACUGCCGGUAAUAAACCGGAGGAAGGUGGGGAUGACGUCAAAUCAUCAUGCCCCUUAUGACCUGGGCUACACACGUGCUACAAUGGCUGGUACAACGAGUCGCAAGCCGGUGACGGCAAGCUAAUCUCUUAAAGCCAGUCUCAGUUCGGAUUGUAGGCUGCAACUCGCCUACAUGAAGUCGGAAUCGCUAGUAAUCGCGGAUCAGCACGCCGCGGUGAAUACGUUCCCGGGUCUUGUACACACC
rnacentral:rRNA from 1 species